rnacentral:lncRNA from 1 species
GCGAGAGUCCGUACCGCUGCAAAUAAAUCCACUGCCGUUCCUGAAGGGAAAUCUCAAAUCUCGCACAAAAAUGGUGCUAGCGCGAAAGCCGAUAAAGCAAACAAAGAUUAAAUUUGCUGGGCGCUGCUAUCUUCUAAAAUAGAAGAUUUGGCAGAUUUUAUUCAGGCGUCCGUGUGUGAAGACCAUAAUAUCGGUAGAAGUGCAGUGCAAGUGUAACCCCCCCCUCUUGUUAGGGUGUUGGAAAAGGGAGCUGCCUCCGUUCAGGACCUCGUAUCCGUUUUUAAGAACGGUCAACACACGGCGGCUCGGAAGUCAAGAUGGCUUCCGAGCCUAACAGCAAAGGAUUCGUCCUCGUCCGUCAUCCGACGGAUCCCUCAGGCCUUCGGCCUUAAUUGUAAAGGAGGUUCCCUUCUCGGCACGGUCAUUCCGGUAUCGUCUUGAGCCGUGCCGAUCUCGUCAAGGAAGGAAGACGCCUGUCCGCCGAAACAUCGCCAGCAACGCCCGCUGGAUGCAGCAAUCCACCAUUCCACCAACCCCGAGCAGCCUCGCUGCGAGUUUCUGGCCACACGGUAGUGCAGGAGCAGCCAUGUGGGCCAACGCGAUGAAGAAGAAGCACCGGUAGCUGCAGCAGUGAGUACAGAAAUUCCCCGACAAGUCUCGCUUACACGCCACACAAAUGUUCAAACCCACACCCACACGCCACACAAGGGACAAAUAAAUGUUUAAAAAUGUGAA